UCGUGCUGGACAAACUUUGUUCAUUAGCUAUCAAAUGUGACUGGCUUAUACACGUCUUGUCCUAAACUCACUCUACGAUGAGAUACACGCGCUUUUGUCCUCUUGAAUUGCGCGGGAACUUCUUUGCGUUUCAUCCACACAGAAAUGCGUUCUUGACUUUAUUCUUACUAUCAACACCGUUACAUUUAGAAAAAAAGAAAAGAAAAGAAAAAAGCUGUCUGUACGACUGACACGACGCCACAAUGAGGUUCUGCUGCUGUUUUCGCCUUUAUAUCGGAUUUAUAUUCGAUAUGGAUAACAAUAAUCAAAGCAGGUCUGGAGCACAGGCCUUCAGAAGACUGUCCACUGGGUCACUUUCCAUGUGGCAAUAUGAGCAUCUGUCUGCCACAACUUCUGCACCGCAACGGCCAGAACGACUGUCCCAACAGAGCUGAUGAGGACAACACAGUUUGCUUUCUCAGAAACACACUUUAGACAGUUCAUUCAUUCUUUCAACAUGAAACUGUCAAAAGGGUGUUGUGUAAUAUAGAAGCACAUUUCCGCCACAGAAUAAAAACAUGAAAAAUUCACUGAAAAGCAACAAGAUUUACGUGUUAACCGAUGAGGCUUUCAUCAAAUACAUAAAAAUACAGAGGCCGUUUCUCCAGGAUAACUGCAUUGGCAAUGUUGCCAUUAAUGCUUUUAGUGGACUAUAUAAGCUGCAAAAACUAUAAGUGUCUAUUUUUUUCACACAGAAAAUAAUGUCAAGCACUGUAUUUGAAAUGAGUUCAGACAGUAUUCAUCAGCUUUAUCUAAUACAAUUGAUAGGAAGAUAUAUCGACAUGAAUGAGCGCUUGUAUUUGCAUGAUCUUGUGUUGUAGAUCUUUGAACCAGAACUGCAUCUCCUUUCUUUCCCCUGGAGUGUUCAGUGAUCUUCAUGAACUGUGAAAGUACUUGAUUAUGGAUCACAACUCCAUAACAAUUACAUCCCACAGAUUACUGGCCUAAAUUUCCUCUUUUUCCUGUCAAUGGUGAAGACCUCUCUAGAACAGCUUCCACCCUCCAGACUCUGCACCAUGUGCCCUUUCUCAGCUGGCUGUCAUUGAGAGCUAACUUCAUACAGAGUUUGCCACAGAACACCUUCCAAUCUCUGUAUAAGAUGGGAGACCUAAUCAGAAAUUCUAGUAAUCACUGAGGUUCAGAGCUUGUAGACGGUGAACGGAUGGAGUGGCUUAGAGGGAGUGGAGAUCCCAAAUAUCCAUAAGCAUGUUUCAACACAUGGAUAACCUCUCCUACAUAUUUUUAGUCCGAAAGUGUAAACCAAACUCAGAUGGACUCUCAUCUUUUGAAGAUCUGCUUGCCAACAUGGUUCUUCGUGUGUCAGUGUGGGUCAUGGCUUUUAUCACCUGCUUUGGAAACCUCUUUGUCAUUGGGAUGAGGACAGUCCUGCGGGAUUUUGUGCUGUGAGUACCAGAGGUGCAGACUGUCUGAUGAGGGUCUAUCUGUUUUUCGUUGGAGUCUUUGAUGUAAAGUUCUGUGGCGAGUACAACAAGAAUGCUAAGUAGUGGAUGGACAGCCUACAGUGUCGUAUCAUCGGCUUCUUGACUAUGUGGUCCUCUGAGGUUUCCAUCAUGCUGCUCACCUAUUUGACCAUGGAGAAGUUCCUGGUCAUUUGUUUUUCCUUUCAGCCACCUGCGACCACACAAAUGCCAAACCUUCAUCGUUUUGACCUCUACAUGGCUGUUGGGUAUCUCUAUCUCUGCAGUGUGUCUGCUUAAUGAGAAGAUGUUUGAGAAUUAUUAUGGAAACAAUGGAGUGUGUUUCCCCCUUCACUCUGAACGUCUGGAACAGGGAUUCUUCUUGGACUUAACCUUGUGGCCUUCCUCAUCAUUGUCGUGUUCUACUCCAGCAUGCUUUACUCCAUCUAUAAGACAGGCAUCAAUGCCACAGAGCUGCGUGGACGGAUGCACAGGGAUGUGGCAAUGGCAAACAGCUUUUUCUCCAUUGUGUUCUCUGACGCCCUCUGCUGGAUUCCCAUAUUUCUGGUCAAAAUCCUUUCCCUGCUGGAAGUUGAGGUACCAGUGCCUUGGAUGCCAUCCUGUACACAGACAACCAGCUUCUUUAGAGAGGUGGAACUUUUAUGGUGCCAUUGGCAGAGACAGGUCAGACUCAGACAGGACCACAAGAGCCUCACCAGCUCUGUUAUCCACACGGAUCCCUCAAGGCCUUCUUUCUGCCAUCACAGCUACACUCACAGACAUCUAUUUUAGACAUAGAUGGCAGGUAUAGAUAAAAAUGUUCUAUAUUAUGGACAUUGUAUUUGUCUGUAGUGGAUCUACAGAGUUUUCAGAGUGCCCAAGCACUGAAAGACGAUGUCCUGGUAGAGAUUCUUUGCUGGUGAACAGGCAUAAUCAUGGAUUGCAAUCAGAUGCUACAAUGAAGGCCUAAAUGUAGCUAUCUAUUAUUUUUGGAUAAUAAUGAAAAGGCAUUAAGAUUAUGGUAAACAUAAAGUGCAAGACCUUGUGCUCUUGCAGUACAUCAGAAAAGUCUUUUAAAACAGCUGAAUCUGUUACAAACGUUCUAGUCAAUAGGUUUUCAGAUCAUAAACUGAUCUGUCUUGACAGAGGAUUGGUUGACUUUUAAACUGGCAACAACCAACAGCGGGCAUAUAUUUGUAUUUUGCAUAUGUAUAUGCUGAUUGAUUCAUUUAUUUAUAAAAAGGCAAAU